GAUGAACGCUAGCUAUAGGCUUAACACAUGCAAGUCGAGCGGAAACGCCAUUAUGUGCUUGCACUUUUUGGACGUCGACCGGCGCACGGGUGAGUAUCGUGUAUCCAACCUGCCCCUUACUUGGGGAUACCCCGUUGAAAGACGUCCUACUACCUGCUGUAAUUCAUUGAUGGCAUCAGAUAUGAAUACAUUAUUUAUCGGUAAAGGAUGGUGAUGCGUCUGAUUAGCUUGUUGGUAAGGUAACGGCUCACCAAGGCGACGAUCAGUAGGGGUUAUGAGGGGAAGGCCCCCGACAAUGGAACCGAGGCACAGUCCAAACUGCUACGGGGGGGAGCAGUACGGAAUACUAGGCAAUGAGGGCAAGCCUGAACCAGCCAAGUAGCUGGCAGGAAGACGGGCCUAUGGGUUGUAAACUGCUUUUAUACAAGAAUAAUUUGAUGAACGUGUGCGUUAUUGCAGGUAUCGUAUGAAUAAGGACCGGCUAAUUCCGUG
rnacentral:rRNA from 1 species